UCCUUUAUAUGGAAUUUUACCGGAGGAAAUAAUAACAUUCAUACAACAACUUUAUUGCUUUUUCACCACCUCAAUGUUUCAUUUUUAGGUAUAAUCUUCUGUCUCAUAGUCUUCUUUCUGUAUUUCUGUACAAUAUUUUUGCAGCGAUCCUGCACAGUAUUUCAGCAUACUGUUUCUGCAGAAUAAUUAUGAACAAACUAAAGUAUUCUUGUCCAAACUUUUAGAAGAAAAAGGUUGUUGGUUCUGCAUCCACAUGAAGAAGAGACGCACAUGGACAAAAGUAAUUUGAGAGGUGCUGAGAAGAGAAAUAUACUCUACAAGGAAAUUUUGGUGAUGCAAUUGAAAUGGUGCUCCAAAGUAAACUUGAUUUAUUGGAAUUUAGUGAUGGAGAUUUUUGGACAAUUAUGAUGUUUAUGAUACUAUUUAAAUACAUAUAAUUUUGUAAAAGGUCACUGCUAGUUGCACCU